rnacentral:rRNA from 1 species
AGAGUUUGAUCCUGGCUCAGGAUGAACGCUGGCGGCGUGCUUAACACAUGCAAGUCGAACGAUCCUUCGGGAUAGUGGCGGACGGGUGAGUAACGCGUGGGAAUCUGCCCUCAGGAGGGGGAUAACGGCUGGAAACGGCCGCUAAUACCCCAUAUGCCGAGAGGUGAAAUGAAUUUCGCCUGAGGAUGAGCCCGCGUCUGAUUAGCUAGUUGGUGGGGUAAUGGCCUACCAAGGCAACGAUCAGUAGCUGGUCUGAGAGGAUGAUCAGCCACACUGGGACUGAGACACGGCCCAGACUCCUACGGGAGGCAGCAGUGGGGAAUUUUCCGCAAUGGGCGAAAGCCUGACGGAGCAACGCCGCGUGAGGGAUGAAGGCCUCUGGGCUGUAAACCUCUUUUCUCAAGGAAGAAGACCUGACGGUACUUGAGGAAUAAGCCACGGCUAAUUCCGUGCCAGCAGCCGCGGUAAUACGGGAGUGGCAAGCGUUAUCCGGAAUUAUUGGGCGUAAAGCGUCCGCAGGCGGCCUUGUAAGUCUGUUGUUAAAGCGUGGAGCUCAACUCCAUUUAAGCAAUGGAAACUACAAGGCUGAGUGUGGUAGGGGCAGAGGGAAUUCCCGGUGUAGCGGUGAAAUGCGUAGAUAUCGGGAAGAACACCAGUGGCGAAGGCGCUCUGCUGGGCCAUAACUGACGCUCAUGGACGAAAGCCAGGGGAGCGAAAGGGAUUAGAUACCCCUGUAGUCCUGGCCGUAAACGAUGAACACUAGGUGUCGGGGGAAUCGACCCCCUCGGUGUCGUAGCCAACGCGAUAAGUGUUCCGCCUGGGGAGUACGCACGCAAGUGUGAAACUCAAAGGAAUUGACGGGGGCCCGCACAAGCGGUGGAGUAUGUGGUUUAAUUCGAUGCAACGCGAAGAACCUUACCAGGGUUUGACAUCCUGCGAACCCCUGAGAAAUCGGGGGGUGCCUUCGGGAGCGCAGAGACAGGUGGUGCAUGGCUGUCGUCAGCUCGUGUCGUGAGAUGUUGGGUUAAGUCCCGCAACGAGCGCAACCCACGUCUUUAGUUGCCAGCAUUCAGUUGGGCACUCUAGAGAGACCGCCGGUGAUAAACCGGAGGAAGGUGUGGAUGACGUCAAGUCAUCAUGCCCCUUACAUCCUGGGCUACACACGUACUACAAUGCUACGGACAAAGGGCAGCAAGCUCGCGAGAGUUAGCAAAUCCCAUAAACCGUGGCUCAGUUCAGAUCGUAGGCUGCAACUCGCCUACGUGAAGGAGGAAUCGCUAGUAAUCGCAGGUCAGCAUACUGCGGUGAAUACGUUCCCGGGCCUUGUACACACCGCCCGUCACACCAUGGAAGUUGGCCAUGCCCGAAGUCGUUACUCCAACCCUUGUGGAGGAGGACGCCGAAGGUGGGGCUGAUGACUGGGGUGAAGUCGGAACAAGGUA